rnacentral:rRNA from 1 species
UCAGCGGCGGACGGGUGAGUAAUGCCUAGGAAUCUGCCUGGUAGUGGGGGACAACGUUUCGAAAGGAACGCUAAUACCGCAUACGUCCUACGGGAGAAAGCAGGGGACCUUCGGGCCUUGCGCUAUCAGAUGAGCCUAGGUCGGAUUAGCUAGUUGGUGGGGUAAUGGCUCACCAAGGCGACGAUCCGUAACUGGUCUGAGAGGAUGAUCAGUCACACUGGAACUGAGACACGGUCCAGACUCCUACGGGAGGCAGCAGUGGGGAAUAUUGGACAAUGGGCGAAAGCCUGAUCCAGCCAUGCCGCGUGUGUGAAGAAGGUCUUCGGAUUGUAAAGCACUUUAAGUUGGGAGGAAGGGCAGUAAGUUAAUACCUUGCUGUUUUGACGUUACCGACAGAAUAAGCACCGGCUAACUCUGUGCCAGCAGCCGCGGUAAUACAGAGGGUGCAAGCGUUAAUCGGAAUUACUGGGCGUAAAGCGCGCGUAGGUGGUUUGUUAAGUUGGAUGUGAAAGCCCCGGGCUCAACCUGGGAACUGCAUCCAAAACUGGCAAGCUAGAGUACGGUAGAGGGUGGUGGAAUUUCCUGUGUAGCGGUGAAAUGCGUAGAUAUAGGAAGGAACACCAGUGGCGAAGGCGACCACCUGGACUGAUACUGAC